GCCUUCAUGGUGUAAUGGUCAGCACACUCGACGCGUAUUCGAGAGAUCUGUGGUUCGAGUCCUGGCGAGGGCA
rnacentral:tRNA from 1 species